UUUUUAUUUUUAAGUCAUGGUCAAUGGGUGGCCCCACUGAAUAUUUUUAUUAGCUUAUGAAAUAAGAGUUGAACAAACAAAAAGCCAAAAAAAAAAACGAGAAAUCUGGAAGCAAAAAAAGGAAAGUGCAGUGACGAUCUCUCUCCUUAGCUCCAAAGCUUUCCAAUCCAAGAUACAUCUGAAAUUUGUUGGUGUUCAUCACAAAUCGAAGAUCUGAAAUGAUGGUGAAGAUGCCGCUGUAAUUCGUACUUGUUCAACUCAAAUCGAAGAUGUAUGCAUCUUAAUCAUUGAUUUCUCAGAGAUCACAAGAUUCAAAAGUCUUCCUUUAUCUCUUAAACUGCGUACCCAAUGAAACUAUAUCACAUAAAUUGGGACGGAGGGAGUACUAGAGAGAGUCAAGGAAGAUGCUCUUCCUUUCCUUAAGAGAUCGUACCGGUUCAUCAAUGACAUAACAUGGAUAUACUUUCUUUUACAUUGAAGUGAGUGAAUACAGAAGAGAACGGGAGAAGAAUGCAUACUGGCGUCUUAACAGCCUUAGCUGACUGAGAAGAUUAUGAAAAAUGGAACGCUGACAUUUUACGGUUAUUAGAUUAAUUAGAAAUGACUGUUAAUAAGGUAAAAAAUUCUACCUUUUCAUCGUUUCUCAAUAUUUUCUAUUAUCUCCUGCAAAGAUUAUUCUUUUGCAGGAAAUAUUGCUGCGUGGUUGUGUAAAGGAUCAUUAUUUAGAUUCAUUAGAUGUACAUAAUCAGUUUUUUUUUAUAUCUAAUUUUGUAUACUUUUAUUUGUGUAAGUGUGAAUAUGAUGGUAAUUCAUAUUAGGUGAUGGGCUGAAUUGUUCCUAAAAGAGAA